CUCAGCAACGGCCCCGCUCCGCCCAACCGGGGCUUGGAGCGGGCACUGGAGGAGGCGGCGGUCAGCGGCGCGCUCAACCUCAGCGCCCGAAAACUGAAGGAGUUCCCCCGGACAGCAGCCAACCACGACCUGAGCGACACGGUGGGGGCAGGUAGGAAGACUGGGACAGAAUGGAGGUGCCGGGCAAUAAAGAGUGUUUGGAGUGGGCUUCGAACCUGUGGUGGUCCGUCGUUACGAUCGCUGAUAAUGUAAAGUCAACUUGUGUCGGUGUGGGUGUCAUGGAAUGUUGGAAUUCCCCAUCGCUUCCUGGACUCCAAACAGCAAUACCCGGGGAGUCAGUUGGACUCAAAACACAAAAGAGGAGUCAGUUAGACUUAAAAAAAAAAAACAAUAACAACAACAACAACAACAAAGGAGUCAGUCAGACGUGCUGUCAACCCGAGUGCUAUGUGAUGUAUUAAAGGGUGCGGCGACUGUUGGAAUGUUUUCGUGCGAUUUGUACUAAACACCUUUGACACUUGAACCCACGCACGAAUGGUUGUUAGUGUGAGCGCGAUCAUCAUAUAUGGUACAACACACUCACUGUUGGGUACUAUAUUGGUUUUUAAGGUCACAUUGGGUACACUAAAGGAACUAAAUGCAAAACAUGAAACUGCAAUCUGCAGGUAGGUAAUUCUUUAAUGAGUAAAAAUCUCAAAAUAAAAAGUAAACCUAUAGUUUACACAAAAACUGAAGAAUGUGGGAUGACACUGAUACAUUUUGUGCAUUAAAGAUGGUAAAACCAGUCCAAUGUAGGUCAGUGUACUCUAGUAUCAGCUAUAUAAAGUUUGCGUAUAGUUCAGGGGUCCACAACCACCUGGCUGGAGUCUUAUGCAGGUCUGUGGACGUGGCCUAACUGGGCUGGCGAAAACUUUUUGGAGUAAUGUGUUUUAUCAUUACUCUGAAAAGUUUUCACCUCCAAAAAUGAUUUUGUAAAAACAACAUUAAAUUGUAUGUUUGGUAGCACUGAUGUCGGAUGUGUGUCUUGGGUGCUAAUUAGCAUAUUUGCUUGGCACACAACCUCAAGAUAAUUAGUUCUAGCACUCUUCUGGUGCACACACACACACACACACCAAACAAUGAUAUUUCAAAUCUCUCUGAAAAAACUCCAGGCUCUUACAAAUGCUGACUCUGUAUUCAUUUUGUGCAUUUACCUUGAUGUUGUGAACCUGCUAGUUGGCAGAACGGUGUUUGAGAGCCGGCCCAAAAAGGUUGGUGACCACUGCGCUAGCAUGUAGUCGCUAACAUCCCAUCUACUUUGUAGCCCAGUCCAACCUGAAGCUUCUAGUCUAUAGCCUCUACCAUCUGGAUGUUGCCUCUUACUUCUAGUCCACUGGUGGAGCAUCACAAGUCCCUGGCCUCUAGUCUCUGGUUUCUAGUCUCCAGCAUGCACUGCUUUUAGGGUGCAUUGUCAUUUUUGGCCCGGUUAAACCUGACUCUUGUCCGUUUGCUCUGCUUGUACGGUUCAUUUUGUCAAGUGUGAACGCAGUCCAGCACUGACAGGACCGGAUCAACCAUGGGACCUAGACCGCCUGAGAGAUGGGUCUCGGUCCGCCUUCAAUGGGCUCUAGUCCUGAGUGAGGCAAGGGUGAACAAUGACCGCAACAACGGACCAUAAGAUGUCGCAAAAUAUUACUAAUGUCCUCUUUGUUACAUCUCAUCUGGUAAAAAAUCUGCCAUAGAAAAGAAGUUCAUACGAGUUUAUGUGAGCCAGAAAACGUCAUGUUGUUUUGGGUGCACAAGGUUGUCGGACACGUCGUCCAAUGGAGGUGCGUCUCUAUGCAUAUGCUCAACUAAGAACAUUACUUGAUCUACUGGCAAAACUACUAGCCAAACCACUAGUGGUGUCACGAUUCAUCCACUACAUCGAUGCAUCAACUACAUUGGUCUGUGUUCAGAAAGUUUCCAUUCUUUAAAAGGUUUAAAUGGUAAUCAAUCGAUUGAAUUGAUACUAGGAAAUAAAGCAUUGGAUUUAAUCACGGCAGGCUUUAUAUGGAUGUGUUUUGUUAGCACUUUAAUGAUAAAGACAUUAAACAUUCCUCGAUUCAGCCUGCCUGUCUGUGACGUCAAUGUCUUGCAGGUAUGUGGCGGUCAUGGGAGUUGUGGUGGAUGUGUGAAAUAGUUAAUUUGCUUCGUCUUUUUUGGUCAGUUGAUUCACUUCAUUUACUACUGGAUCAUAUUUAACUCAUCUCUCCUUAUUUUAAACUUCUUUUAAGUGACAUUUAUGGGGACAAUAUGCAAAGUAAGGACAUUGCGUACGGCUCUAGACAGUAGCUUCAAAACACAUAUGUGCGCUGGAAAGCGUCUGUCAUUUAUGUACUCUUACUAGUUGCUGCACAUUCUUUCAAAUCGCUGCUCUGAUCAGGAGGAUUAUCAGCACAAUAAAAGCCCCUGCUGCCGUCGCCGUGUACAGGUGAGAAGGUUUCAGCACCUAAUUGAAGAAACCAUACAACAUUCAUUUGUUGAGGAAAUUGCACAAUGUCCCUCACCUUUGGGUGCAAAGUGCAGGUUUGGAUUGCACGAUUUAAAGUCAAUGAUUAAACAUGGCAAGCUAUACCACCCUCUGUUCAUCCUGAUUUUGUAUUGCAUUUUUAAUUUUUGAACGCACUGAUAAUUUAUUCUUAAUUAUGUCAGCAUUAUUAAUCAUUUAUACCUGAUUUCCUUACAAAAAAACAACGGGAAUCUAGAAAACGUCACCUGCACUCUCCAGUAUUUAUUACGCAGUCACACUAGUUGAAUUUUUGGCUAAAAAGUUACCGAAUAGAUUUAAAGUUACUGAAUCAUUUUGAAUCGUAUCGUUCUAAAUGAACCAAUAUCAUCCUUGAAUCGUAUUGGCAACCACGAGUCGUGAUGUGAAUCAAAUGGUUAUUAAAAGGAAUGGUUACACCCCCACAGACCACAGUAAAGUGACAAAUAUGGGCUAAGCUCACACUGCAGGGUAUGAUGCCCAAUUCUUUUUUUUGUUGUGACUCUGAUCUUGUAAAUGUGAACAUGAUGCGUAAAACUUGACGUCAUACACAUUGCCGUGUAUUUAUGGAUGCAAACAUACAGUGACAUAGCCCUAGUUUGUACAGUUUUUGAUGUGUUUGCGGCAGUUUGAAAGAUUUUGUACGACGGGAGUCAACAUUUUCUAAACCAAAUGAUUCCAAGUCAGAGAAGAAAAGAAGGAAGGGGGCAAGACUUUUGGCUACGGCUGUUCAUGGACAACUGGCUGCGAUGUCUGUUUGGAGGAGGGGGGUGUGGGAGUGGUGGGUGAUGUGAGACUUUUUAAAAUCAUUUUCGGAUGACAAGACGAAUGUUUGCCUACAUCGGUGGGUACUUCUAUUGUGGUCUCGCACGGCAAAACACGGCUUUGGAUGACGCGUAGGUCGGAUAUAGGUGACCUGAUCUUUGAGACUGCAGUAGGUGUUAUAUUUACAUACCAGUGAGGCCUGAGUCGCAUUGGAACGAAUCUGAAUUGUACUGUUCACACUGAUGAGGAAAAAAAUCAGAUACAGGUUGCAUAUGAGCAAAAAAUUGGAAUUGACCUGCAGUGUGAAAGUAGCCUAGAUCCUUGUCUGUAACUUCUUGUUCCAGUCUGUAGGCUUUAAUCCUUAGCUUCUCCUCCAUUCUCUGUUGUCUUGAACCUCAAGCUGCUAUUCUUUGGUCCCAAGCUGUCAACAACACAACCCUGAUCAGAUGUUUUCAGGUCAUGCUGUAUGUGUGUUGGAAUACACUAAAUGACAGCACAGUAACACGAUACUGUAUGUUGUCUGCUUUCACCAGCACUCGUAGAACUUUUUAGAAUGUCUGUUGUGUUGUUUUCUGUGCUGUGAAACAGAAAGCAAUGUAGUGCAUGUGUGUGUUCCGAGCUCAACAAUACACGUCAUUUCUGCAGUGUUUGGCAGCUUGUACUACAUGUCUAUGCAGUGUUCCCUCGUUUAUCGCGGGGGAUAGGUUCCCAAAAUAGUAGUAGUCUACUUCAUUUUUGUACAAUGAUUCUAUAUGUUUUAAGGCUGUAAAACCCCCCACCAUUCACUUUAUACACUUUUCUCAGACAGGUGUUAACAUUUUGUCACAUUUCUCACUUAAAAAAAGUUCAUACCUUCAUUUGAAUUUGAAUGCUGAACCUACAAGGUUGGACGCAAGAAAUGAUGAAGUGACUCAUGCGUAUUUCACUCUUCUCACCGGGCCUCUUUGUCGUCCUGGCGCCGUUCUGCUGUACUGUAGCGUUUUUGUAUCCUUGUUAAAACAUGUUGUAUUUUCCUCCUUUCGUAAUGGCUCCCUGCAGCCACAACUACUUCUUCCUCUGCUGCCACUUGGAUGCGACCGCAGGUGCCUUUGACGGUGCAGAAAGUUUGGUCGACAUUGUGGGUGUUGUCGGGGGUAAAACUUGCAAACACAAACGCAAAUACAGCACUUCAGGGUCACACUGCUAGCGACGGAACAUUUAUGGUAAUUUGGAAGCUGAACACAUUUUGUACUGAGGCACUGAGGAGAUUGAUUGACAAUGCUCUACAGUCCCUUAGCCAAUCAGGACGCAGAACACAAUGCGUGGGUUCUCUCUUAGCCAGUCAGGAUGCAGACACAACACGUGGGUUCUCCCUUAACCAAUCAAGACACAGAACACAAUACACAUUCAUACACUGCGCUAUUAAAAAAAAACAUUUAAAAAGCCCUAAAAAAUUCCGCAAACAACGAGUCCGCAAAAGGUGAACGGCGAUGUGGUGAGGGAACACUGCAUACUAGAAAGUAGGAAAUGAGUGUUGCUUACCUUGUUGCAACAUCUGGGCAUACAACACACACUUUGUUUGGCUGGCAGUCAAAAGAAACAUUCCCAAACAGAUCAAAUCUCUUUCACCGUCCGGGAAUGAUUUUUAUUUUUUUUUUGUAUGCUUCAAACGUUGUCACACAGAACCAUUAGCUACAGUUUGGACUGCUUCAUCCAAACAUUCAAACUAAGUCGUAAGCAUCUGACUUUCUCUUAAACGCGUCAGGAAGCAAACAGACUAGCAGUGACGCUGCAGGCAGGACCAGACCUGCUAACAAACUACAACAGUCCACUCCAAUAAGCAUACUGUGUACACUAUGUACUUACAGUACUUCCUUAGUGUGCAGAUUUUGGCAGUGUAGUGCUGAUUCAAAUUGAUUAUUCAAGUUGUUGCUUCUUCUCGCUCUCCUUUUUAUGGGGAAAUUGCAACCACUUGACAGAGCAUCAUUGUCAACAUUUAGCUCGCCCAAUAAAAUAUACGCCAGCAUUUUUUCCCCCAACUUCUUGAUUGCACAAUAUUUGAAAAUGUAUUUGAUAUUCCUUGUUUUUGGCAUUGCAUGUACCCCCUGCUUCAAAUGAGGUGGCGACGAUGCCAUCACUUUUUGUUUGGUAGUCCCUCCCCUUCUGCUACAUAGCCAAGAUGGGGACUAUUGAGGGCAGUAUACUGACAGUGUGCUGCAAUUUGUCAUACUUUUCAGGCUGAAUGCACUCGUGCACUCAAAAGUGGAAGUACAGAAAUGCUCGAUUUGAGAUGCUGUACAGUGUGCAGAGCCAGUAAAACAGGGUAAGCUAAUGUUAGCAUGGGUGUUUGUUUUUGCCGUAUACUUUCCAAAGCCACACCAUCAGGAAAUGGGAAGACCUGGGUUCGAAUCUGUGUGGAGUUUGCAUGUUCUCCCCGUGUGUGUGGGGGGGUUUUCUGAGUACUCCGGUUUCCUCCCACAUUCCAAAAACAUGCAUGUUAGCUUCAUUGGAGACUCUAAAUCAGGGGGCACCAACGUUUUUUCUUGCAAGAGCUACUUUUAGAAAAUGAAAAUUGCCACGAGCUACUCAUUUUUGUAGAAAUGAUUUUCAUACCUUCUUUCAACCCAAACAGAUCAAAUAUGCUUGUUUUACCAGAACAUUCACCAAAUGCUGGUAUCCACAACUCACAUUUUAUGUUUCACAAUACUUUUCUUUCUAGUGUUCUCACAUUAUUAACUGAAAACCUGAAUGAAAAGCAGGCCUGCGGGCACCUCAUGUGGUCGUGGGGGCAACCUGGUGCCCGCGGGCACUGUGUUGGUCACCCCUGCUCUAAAUUGUCCAUAGGUAUGAAUGUUAGCAUGAAUGAUUGUUUGUCUAUACUCUAUGUGCCCUGCCAUUGGCUGGCGACCAGUGCAGGGUGAACCCUGCCUCUCACCUGAAGUCAGCUGGGAUGGGCUCCAGCAUACCUACGGCCCUGGCGAGGAUAAGCAGCAAAACAUAGACUCUCAAAAGCUACAUCACCAAGGUUGUAUCAGCGUAGCCAGUGUAGGCAUCAUGGAGAAUGGAGCCCUGUCAAGCCAAGCAUGCAGUGGAAAUGGGGUGAGUGUGCAAACGUGUGUAGAUGUUGACGUUCUCAUUGAAACGCGCCCUAUGAGGACUUGCCAUGUUUCCUUCCCUUGUUUCCUUAUCUCCCCUCUAACACACACAGCUCCCAACACACCUGAAGGUAAUGAUACAGUAGCCGCAGCAGAAUUGCUGAACUCCUCAUUCCUUGUUUCCUGUUUGGGAUUGUUCUGGCUCCAAUCCCGAUGACACGGUUGGAUGCUUGUGGGUUGUAAAGUGAGUUAAUUCCAUUCAGAAGUUAUCAUGUUGUUUCUGCUUGGCGGCGCCGUGCAGCGCAAGCGUCUUUUCAUGGGGAGGGGAGACCAGGCUAGCUAGCUGUGAAGCUAACUUGAAGAGACAGGAAGUGACCACACCCAAGCUCAUUGUUUCCAAGAGACUGCGGCUAGAAUCAUUUUCUCUCAUGGAGCCCAAGAACAUGUACACCCUCCAACCACUGAUCCAGCAGCGAAGUACAGCACAACACUGAAGGCAAUAAGGCAAACUUGUAAUGAGAGUCAACACUGUCCUCCACAGUGUUCUCAGUUCAUGGGUUCAUGAGGAGAGUGACACACCGUCUGAUUAGAGAGGAUCUCAUCUGUCCAGUGGUUAAGGAUGGUUUAGGUGCGGGGUACAGUCUGACAGACUCUAUUGUCAAACUAUGACGACGUCAGUCUUCGGAAAAAGGUUUUUGGUAGACACCUAGCAAGUCUUUUGUUUGUGACCAUCUUGAGGACAUAUUCAAAUUUAGCAACUUGAGUCAUUUGCUAUUAUUUUUCCAUCAUUAGUUUUCCAUCAUUAUUUUCUAUGGGAAAACUUGACAAAGGCUGACAAAGGCUGACAAAGGCACCACUGUAUUUGUUAGGGAGUAAAUGCAUGACUAGGCCUGUCACGAUAAUCGAUAGAUGGAUUAAUCUAACGAUUAAAAAAAAACAACAAAAAAACAGGUCGCUAAUUAUGACGCCCUCGAUAAAUUGACAUGUGCUUGUACGCUCGUCUGUCUGACACACUGGCUGGAUGACAAGUGGGUUCACUCUGCAUACGUAUGUGCGCAUUGGUUUCACAGUGGAAUGAACGGAGAGAGUGAGGUGGGGUUACUAGCAACUAGCUACUGUAUGCUCGCUACUAUCUAUUACUUUUGGUUUUAAUCCAAGUGGGAAAUCAGUACGCCUUUGUACCGUACUGAAAAAUCCGAGUACGAACACUCAUACCAUGCACCCCGAGUACAGACGUCAUUUUUCAGCUCUCGUAUUGGAUGCCAUCAGAUUGCGUGUGGAAGAAAACAUGGACAUGGAGCUUUCCAAAGAUGAAUAAAAUGUGUCGAGUUUAGAUUGAAAGACAACCUCCAUGUGUGAAGAAGACGUCUUCUGAGACGGCGGCCGUUCCAAUUCUGACAGACGCCAAAUCCCUUUCAAUAAAUAAACAGGAGCAGUCUCUCAUCUCACACCCCCCCCCCCCACCCCCAUUCCUCCAAAUGUAGGCCACAAUCAGCCCGACGCACAUGCACACACAGUCGUCCCUCUCCACAGCGCACCAGUUCAGGCUUAUCCUAAUACACCACGAAGCUCACAGCAGCAUGCGUAAAUAAGCGUGAUCAUUUGUUCACACGCAUGAUACUGGCUUUAAGUCCAACUAGACCAAACAUGCUUUUAAGUCAUCAUUAAACGUUUGACACAAUUACGUCUUUGAAAGUUGCUCGUUUUUUUUCUGUUUAAAAUGGACACAUGCACGCGCAGCUGCCUCUCAGCGUAACCUUAAGUGUGCGUGUUUUGGACAAAUGUCAACGUGUCAUGUUGGCAAUUUUAGAUUGGAGAAAGCCGUAAAGAGGCCAGCUGAGGUUUAGUGCCACCUAGUGGACAGUCGCUGCUGCAGUCUGUAUUUCUAUGUUGUCCACGCUUAUUUAGUGGAACGGCUGUUACAAUGAGCGCCAUUAGCAACACACCUCUGUGCACGGUGGAUUGCCAGGAUGGGGGAUCUAUUUGUUGAGCCAUCGCCUACAGCACCCCCACCCCCACUGACCCACAUUUUGCUCAGCCGUCAGCAUCAUCAGCGUGUUUGUGUAUGUGCUUUAUGCACGUGUCUUUAGACAACGCCUGGUGGGUUCCCAGGCUAAGCCGUCUUGAUCCUGUUCAUUCCCCCCUCACUCCUUUCAAGUACGUCGUCCCUCAGAUCCUCACCAUCACCUUUUUGUGCUUCCUUCCAAUGCCUUGGAGUCUAGCGUAUCUGCGUCAGGUGACCUUGAGAAGUCAAGCUGUCAGUUUUGUUUACUCGCGGCUCGUUUGUACAAAAUGAAAACGAAAGCCAAGCGGCGGUGCAAGUGGACUGAUCUCUCUGGGUGUUCUCUUCACGCCCCACUUUCUCUUCUGGGUCGAGGGAAAGCGGGACGAGUGAGGAGGAGAGAUGACUCCAAAGGGUCCUGCUCUGUAUGCCGUAUAAAUAUCAAAGGCGGAAAAAAACCACACAGAUUGCUUGUCCAAAAAGGGACCUUAACCACCCGCGCAGGAGGCUGCUGAUCACUGGAUGUGGGUGGACGAGCACUGGAAGUGCUCAGCUCGCUGUUACGUAACAGCCUUCACGACUCUCCUUGUGGAACACAGUGAGGAAGCACGACACGCCAAGCAAGAAUCAUUUAUUCAUGAUUGACUUUGCUGGCUGUAAAUGCUGAUGUCGCAUUGUGUGUGUGUGUGUGUUUGUGUGUGUGUGUGUGUGUGUGUGUGCGCUCCCUGAAGAGAGAUCAACUUGUCAUCACUCAACUGUCGUGUAACUGCACACGCCGUCCUCCACUGCCUGCCUGCCUGCAGCAACGGGAGGACGUUUGGAGGCAAAUAAAUCUACUGGAGGAUGAGGAGGGUUACUUUUAGACCGCGUGCUUGUGCACUUUAUUUGCUCAAGUGUGAACACUGUCAUGUGUGCGGAUUGAGACCGCUUGAAUGGUCUUGGACCCCUUAGGCUGUUCACAUUUGUCACUUUUGUUUUGGUUAAACCCUAUUGUGGUAUGAUUGCUGUGCUGCUGCCAUUCCAAUUAGGGUACACCAAACAAGUAAAUGAAGCCUGCUAGCAGAGGAGGGGGUGUCCUGAUAACACAUUGAUAUUGGCAAAACAUAUUUAAAAAAAACAAAAACAAGUACAGUAAUCCCUUGCAUAGAAAACCUGUUUACAACCUUCUUAAUAUGGUUUUAACAUUAUUAGAGCCCUCUAGACAUGAAAUAACACCCCUGUAGUCACCUUUACACUUGUAUCACCAAUGAUACAGUCAUGGAAUAAAUGAUUAGUCCACCCUUGUUUCUUCAGUGUCUUGUUCAUGUGAAUGCCUGAUACAACUAAAGGUACCUGUGUUUGGACAAAUAUAACAAUAACAACAAAAAUAGCUGAUUAGAGUUCCAUUGUUUGGCAGUACAAUGCUUUAGCUAUUCAUGUAAGAACUUAAGCGAUGUUGGUUAUCAUCAAGAAAAGCAUGGAAGUUGCUAGAUAUCAGCUCUUAUUAUGAGCUAUAUUUGUUAUCAUCAUAUUUGUCCAAACAAAUGUACCUUUAGUUGUAGCAGGCGUUGAAACGGAUCAGUAAACUGAAGAAACAAGGCUGCUUUCAUCAUUUUAUCCGUGGAAAGUCGCGAAAGUGACAUGAUGGGAAUGAAAUGCUGUCAUUGUGAGGAAAGGAUCGUUUGUGUGGGAGAGUACCGCUCAAACGUGGCAGACUCUCAUUGCAAACAUCAAUCCGCCUCUUCCCGAACUAAACAUGUCGAAAUGGUGACCUGAAACACUGGCCAAAGUUGGAAAAUCCUCUUCUAUGGAGCGUGAAUGGAAGCUGAGUUAUCGUAGUUUAAGCAGAGCAUGCCAGUGCAGUUUGUGUGUGCGUGACUCAGGCUGUGUUGUGUUUUAACGCUUUAAUGCAAGCGAGUGUUUUACAAUGCCUGCUGACGUGCAGGUUCUGAGUGAAAAAAGACGUGAGGCACCUUUAUUCUUGCACCCAGCUCAUCUUGACCGUCAAGAGGCCAAGCUCGACCCGUGUCUGAAUUACUGGACAAAAUUGGCCAAUUAUGUAUUGCAUCAUUCAAGGAUUUAAUGAAUAGACAUUUUAUUCACUAACCCCAAAAGCACACACUCUAUCCUGGUAAAAUAAGUGGAAAAAGUAAAAAGAAACUGAAUUCUAAAAACAUAAAGCAGAAAAACAGAAUUUGGAAAAAAAAUAACGGAAUUCAGGAAAAAAUCAAAUGGAUUUCAUAGGGCCUUACGCACGUCACAUACGCAUACAAUGCAGAGACUCUCAUGUCUGAUUGGACCUACUCUUAAUGUAACACACUGAACAAGCAGCAGUUGGCAGGCAGGUCAGGUGACCCCAGGAUUGGAUAAGUAUGUCAGGGUGAAAGCGUGUGUAGACAGACAUCCCUUUUCCUCUGCAGUUUAGUUCAGAGCUGGAGUUGAACCGGUGUUGGCUGUGAACACCAGAAUCGUCCUGGAGAAACUCUGAAGAUAUUUGCUGGCUGCAUCACAUCCUCUCAUCAGUGAUGUGAGUUGUUCUGCUCCUGUGGCCUUCAAACGUUACCGCACGUUCUAAAAAUACAGCCAGAGAUGUCUCAUGCCAGCGUGUGCGACCACAGAUGCAGCGCAGUGUUGUGACACUAUCUUACUCAACCCCUGAGUCUCCUGAGUCCCUAUUUUCUAUCACACUUUUCUCCCCUCGACUUCCUCGCCUGUUUCAGUAUCUUUUUUGUUUCCACUACUAGAUGCUGCAAUGUUGUCAUAAUGGUGGCAACAAUCGACAAUCAAAACAUGGUUCUUCAGUGCCGGCCAGCCUCUUGAAGUGUUUUCUGAUUUUGUGCUGCUCUCAGUAAAGUCUGUUAUUACAGGGAGGAGUCUGGCCUCUUCCUGCACAAGCGGAGGAUGCAGCUGCAACACACAUACAUGCAUAGAAGUACAGGGAUUGUACCCACCCUGUCCUGGACAAACAUAAUAGUUUAAACGUGGCCCUCCCAGACAACAUGUGCAGUUGUAUGUCGCUGUUGUUUACCGGCCUUCUUGAAAAACUAACCUGCUAACAUGUACGCAUUUUUUCCAACUCAGCAUGCAUUUUGAUCCUUGAAUACAGUUUUGAGUUGUGUCUCUGAAGCCUGGGUUACACUCAUCUGUCGAGGUGGCAACAUACAUUGGCCCGCUCCUCCUGCUGAAAACCGUAACAUUUCUUCAAGGUUGGCAGAUGGGAAUACGUUUCACUUAAAGCCAAGGAAAAAGCAAAAACCAUGAUGAUGCUGUGUGCCCUGACAUCAUGCCUGAUGGCGGUUCAAACUCUGAAGCUUUGUUUGACCAUAGAGGUGUAUUUUUUCAGCUGAAACAUAAAAUGUUUGAAAAGUUUUAAAUGUAAAAUGUUUUUUCUGCUGGCUUGACUUCCACUAAGGUUUAGGGGGUGAAGAAUGAUCUGCUGACCGCGUCUGUGAGGUCCAAGGCCAUGUAUCCACAGUGACCCAGCUCAUAACAGUUGUGACAUCAUUUCUUGUUUGUUGUCCUGCAUACAGGACGUCCUGUCGAACAUUUGUUUGUGUGCGAGAUGCGUGAUGACUCGUCAUUCAAGGGAAAAUGAUGACAGUGUCUGUAUUUGUGUCAUCACAUCUCUAUCCAGCCAUCCUUGUUCUACUGUUCAGGGAAGCUGGAGCCUAUCCCAGCUGACUUUGGACGAAAGACUUGUCUAAGAACCGUCUGUCUGACGUCCCCUCGGAGGUCUGCCAUCUGGUCGCCUUGGAGAUGCUAAACCUGUAUCACAACUGCAUCAGGACCAUCCCCGACAGCAUUAUCGGCCUGCAGUCCCUCACCUACUUAAACCUCAGUCGGAACCAGCUGGGCUCUCUGCCGGCCUGCCUGUGCACGUUGCCACUGAGGGUCCUCAACGCCAGCAACAACAAGCUAGUGAGCCUCCCUGAGAGCGUGGGACAACUGCGCCGCCUCAUGGAGCUGGACAUCAGCUGUAACGAAAUCACUACUCUUCCUCGACACUUCGGCCGUCUGCGAACGCUACGAGAGCUCAACGUACGGCGGAAUCUCCUCUGUGUCCUUCCAGAAGACCUGGCUGACCUUCCUCUGGUCAAGUUUGACUUUUCCUGCAACAAGGUGUCUACUAUCCCCGUGUGCUACAGGAAGAUGAGGCAACUGCAGGCCCUCCGGCUGGAGAACAACCCGUUGCAGAGCCCGCCGGCGCAGAUCUGUUUAAAGGGCAAAGUGCACAUCUUCAAGUAUCUUAGCAUGGAGGCGUGUCGCAGUGAAAAGAUGGCCGACGCUCUCUACCUGCCCGUCAUGGAGCGCCUCAGCCUGUCACGUCCCGUCGUCGGAAGUGUCGAGGACAUGGACCAGCAGAGGAAGCAGGACAGCGACUCGGGAGUCGGCAGUGACAUCGGAGACAAGAGGCUGUCGGCGACGGAGCCAUCAGACGAAGACAGCUUGAGUCUCAACGUCCCCAUGAGUCACAUCACGGAGGAGGACGGGCUCAAUAAAGACGACUCCAGCGAACACAUCAGCUCUUUGACAGAUCCAAACUCUGAGCCGAUCCGCCUGAUUGAGGAGAACCCCACGGAGGUGUUGAAGGAGCAGCUGGCCUACAGAGACUCGUCGCUCGGCGCUCGCUUCAUCAGCUACAUCAAGGGGAGGACGGCGGUGGACUUUGACGAGCCGCUCAGGAUAGUCGAGGACUCGCACUGGACAGAGCAGCGUUACAGGCCAAAGGUCGCAAGCGACGGUGAGCUCCACAUUGACAUGAUCAACCAGCUGAAAGAGGCUGUGGAGCUGCUGCAGGAUCCCAGCAGAAUGAGCUCGGAGCAAGAGGACCUGUGUGGGGUCCAACUGUACCCCGUGGAGAUGGUCACGGUGGAAGAGUCGGUCAAUGGACAAGACAGUGACGACGGCGCCUCAACACCAAAGCGAUGUGACCGCUCUCCUGGUGGAAUAUCUGCUGUUUCCAGCCCGCCGUUUGGACUGAAACCUCGUUCAGCCCCGCCCUCGCUGCCUUGCUCGCCCCCUCCCUCUCCCUUCCUUCUCUCACAGGCCCCGUCCCUCCUCAGAGCUUUAUGCCGUAGCCGUGAUGACGGAGGCGUACUGGACCGCGUGUUCCUGCGGAGCCACAAAAGUCUGGAGUCCGUGGACCCUCAGUUCACCAUGAGGAGAAAGAUGGAGCAGCUCCGAGAGGAACUGGAGCUGAUGGAGCAGCUGAGAGACAGCAUCGAGAGUCGUCUGAAGGUCGUCCUUCCCGAUGACUUGGGCUCCUCGCUGAUGGACGGCGUCGUGCUCUGCCACCUGGCCAAUCACAUCCGCCCGCGUUCUGUGGCCAGCAUCCACGUUCCCUCACCUGCGGUGCCGAAACUCAGCAUGGCCAAGUGUCGGAGGAACGUGGAGAACUUCCUGGACGCCUGCAGGAAGAUCGGCGUCCCUGAGUCUUCACUCUGCUCCCCCUAUGACAUCACCCAGCGCCGCCUGACUCCGAUGUGUACCACCGUUGCGACCCUGGUGGGCUUGGACGCCAUCGCGGCAGACGGAAAACAGGAGGAGGGGAUCGUGACUCGGGGUCCCGCCCUGCCACCAGAGGCCCGCUCAUUGGUCUCUGUGACCACUCAGACCCCGCCCCCGACCUGGCAGCCGUGGGACCUGAUUGGCUCCAGCCUGGUUCACGUCCUGUGUCUAUUGCUGCUGUUGGCCGUCUACGUUUGGAGUGAGCUGACAUAACCGUGACCACAGCUGCCCAACGGCCCCUCCCUUUUUCUACACAGGCUCCUCCUCCUUGUUUUGGCUCAUGUGAUUGGUUGAAAAGGAACUAGACCAGCUACACGGUUACUUCCUUAUUUUUGGGGAUCAAACGUGCUUUAAAAACACGCAAGGUCCUUGCUUGCAAACUUUCCACAUAUUUCUCAGCAUAUUUUGCUUGGAAAACGUUAAGAGGAGAGUUUUUGCACAAGCUGCCUCGGUCACUCUUUGAGGAGGUGGAGACUUGAAAGCGCCUCGACGUGUGCACCGUUACAACGAUCAUCCUGUUCCACGUUCCUCCUUACAACGAAAUAGGAACCAUCAUGCACAAAGUGUCAUUUUUUUUAAGGUUCCAAGCUAGCCUUGAGCUUCUUUCUAGGAUUUUUGUUAUGUUUGAGGAUGUAAUUAUUUUAGUACUUUAAGUAACUAGCUCCAGUAACAUUGUAACAAAUGACAUUUAUUUUUGUUCCGUGUUAGCAUCAGAUGUUAGCUCGGAUGUAAUCGUCACAUUUCUGCCGCUGUGCUGUGACUUAAACAGCAGGUUGGGAAUUCAAUGUUUUGGUCUUUUUACAAAUCAUUUCCUUUUCAACUUUUGGCCCGCAAAAUGAAGACUCUUACCACCAUGUCUUAACAACACAACAGUUGGUGUGCUGGCUAACUCGCUAGCAUCAAGAAGAAAUCCAACCCAAUAUGGCCGCCAGGCGAGCAUGCUGAUGGGUCAAAAGCCUUAUUUAAAGCGUAUUCCCUCAUCUUUUACCCUUUCUCUUGUCCUUGAAAAUUUAGCUUUUAAUUGAAGAAGUAAGAAUCUGGUCUUAAGUGCUUUAAGCUGAUUUACAAUACGACUCUUCGCUUCACGAAUGUAUUAAGUUUGAUGUCAAAGUAGAAUGUGAGUAGUUAGCGUUUUAAGCUGUUUUAGUUCAAGUAUUUUCUGGAGACGGCGCUAUUAAAGACUAAAGACGUUCAGGGACAUUCUGCUGUGUAGAGUUUUAAAAGCUAUGAAGACCAGCAUUAACACACAAUAAGAGUGAGGCUGUGUCUCAGUGCAUUUUCUGGUCUUACACUUAGGCUACGUUCCCACUGAAGGCUAUGAUGCCCAAUUCAGACUUUUGUUCAGAUGCGACUUUUUCAUGCGGUCGUUCACAUUACCAAAAAAAGCGACUUGUUAACGUGAAAGCAAAGCGUCCAGGAAGUGAUGUGCAUGCGCAAAAGCAAGACGUCACACGCAUUUCUGUGCGUUUAUGCAGGUAAUGAACGCGUUUAUGGAAAUUUCAAGGAUUUUGUGCAACGGGAGAAAAUAUUUUCUUAACCAAAUGAUUCCACGUAGGAGAUUAAGAAGAAAGAGGGCAAGAAUAAGGAUCUCGCGUUCAAUCCUUCCCUCACUCGUGAACAGGACCCCGAGGUACUUGAUCUGCUCUACCUGGGGCAAGAGAUGGCACUCCACCCUCUUCCGGGCAAGAACCAUGGACUCGGACUUGGAGGUGCUGAAUCUCAUCCCGGCUGCUUCACACUCGGUUGCGAACCGAUUCAGUGAGAGUUGAAGGUCACGGUGGGUUGGGCAUCUGGUCAGGAUACCUCCCGGACGCCCCCCAGGGGAGCUGUUCAGGGCAUGUCCGACCGGCAAAAGGCAUCGGGGAAGACCCAGGCCACCAUGGAGAGACUACAUCUCCCAACUGGCCUGGGAACACUUCAGGAUACGCUGGCAGGAGCUGGACGAAGUGGCCGGGGAGAGGGAGGUCUGGGCUUCCCUGCUUAGGGUGCUGCGACCUGACCUUGGAUAAGCGGUAGAAGAUGGAUGGAUGGAGGGCAAGAAUUUUGGCGAUGGCAGUUUGUGUCGAACUUGCUGCGACGUCUGUUCAGAGGAGCGUGUGGCUGGCAGGAGCCGCUUCACUGACACAAAAAAAUCAUUUUCGACUGACAAGAAGAACUUUUGCCUACAUCGGUGAAUACCUUUAUCCAAGUCUCGCACGGUAAACCACGCCUUUGGAUAACAUACAGUAUAGGUCGGAUAUACGCAAAUUGACUGCAUUAUCUGCAUACGAGCUACAUACUGAGCCGCAUUUGAAAAAAUCAGUACAUCAACAAUCAUGUACAGGUCACAUAUGCACAAAAAAAGUGAAAUUGACCUGCAGUGUGGACAUAGUGCUCAGUCUUUUAAUGCAGUCAUCAUUUCCGGUGAGUGUGCAAAGACAAUAACAAGUCUAUGUUAACUUGUGGAGGAACAUUUUCUUCUCUCUGGAGUUUGAUCAUAAAAACGUGUUUCCACGCUAGGGCCGUUUUCUGGAAAACUGGGAAUAUUUGUGACCCGCCACUCGGAAAAGAUUGUUUGAAAGCCACUUACUUGUUGGAGUUGAUUCUCAAAUCAAUGUAUUGCAUUUUAGACUUUUGGAACCAGGGAACACCCAACAGACGUUUGCACUUCAACUCGUCAGAGGUCAGAAAUGUCCAACUUCCCAUUUGUCUUGAACACCUUGUCACCAAUAUGUCUUGUUUUUUAUCUUCUUGGAAUACGAAGUGUGCCAGUGAGUUCCAGGAUGGUUGUCACAAAUCCAAACUGCAUGUUUUCCCCCUUUUAAGUCAUCUAAUGCAGCCAUUCCCAAGCAAAUUGCAGGGCGUAUGUGGAAACAUUACAUUUCCAAGAUGACAAGUAAAUAUUCUCAGUCAUGUCAUAUUAGGCCAGACUAUAAAAUAGAAGAACUAGUUUCCCCUAGGAGACAAUAACCUGUGGCACAGCUAUGCCAAAAUCAUAGCAGUUGUGUUACAUUCUACUUUUGGAGAUGAAUGAGGGAGUACUCAUGGUAUGCCAAAAAGGCUCUGGGGGUACACAAGACAAAACGUUCGGAGACACUAGUUGAAUGCACUUGCCCCGCCUUGUCAUCCACGCACUCCUGGAAGGAUUCUUCAGGUUGUCCCUUUGACCCCUUGAGCUUGAUUAAGGGGAAAAACACAGAGCCAGGUCGGCUGAGUAGGGAGGUUGCACCAGCAUGCCGAUGUUCUUCAGCUCUUCUCAUGCACUGAACAAAGCGAACACAGGAUCUCCUUGUAGUUAUGCUGGUUGACCGUGUGGCCUUGUGGCAAGAACUCGUUGACUCAAGACUCAACAGUGCUGGAACUUUUCCGACAGGCAUCGUAUAUAAUUGCUUAGUCAAUUUUGAUCUGCGUUGCAUUGAGCUUUAGCAUGUUGAAUAAACAGAAGGUGAAGGCUAAAGGCUAAAAUGGCCCCCAUACACUCCUCAUCAAAAUGUUAAGACCAGUUGAAAACAAUUGCAGUUGGAUUUUAGGGAGGUUCUAAGUAGAGCUUCACAAGCAAAAAGAAGAAAUGGGAGUGAGGCAAAAAAUGUUUUGAGUAAGCAAUUUAUUGCAAACAGCCAUUAAACUAAAACAGCCUGUUCGUAAGCUGAUAAAAAGUUUAGGAUCACAGCUAAAAAAAAAAAACAUUCUUGCGCCAUUCUUGUUAAUCAUCUAAAAAUUGGUUUGUGGAUGAUGCUUGUUUUCAGGAGGCUAGUGCUCCAGGUGGUAAAGAGGGCAUCCACUGUCUGGAACUGAUGUCCAUUUUUAUAAACUUCCCUUGCCAUCCAUCCCCAAAUGCUCUCAAUUGGAUUUAGAUCAGGGGAACACACAGGAUGGUCCAAAAGACUGAGGUUAUUCCUCUGGAAGAUGUCCUUUGUCAGGCGGGCAUUGUGAACUGCAGCGUUUGAGGGCCAUGAGUUGUGAGGGAUGCACCCUGCAACAUCUCCACAUAGCCAGCUGCUGUUUGACGCCCCUGCACAACCUGAAGUUCGAUUGUUCCGUUGAAGGAAAAGGCAUCCCAGUUCAUGAUGUGCCAUGUGGGAAAACAUCUCAGGUGGGAUCUCCUUGUCAUGCCAGUAACGUUGGAAGCCAUCAGGACCAUCAUCAAACCUCAUCAAAGACUAAAAGUUUCUUCUCCCUUUCAAUGUCCCAUGCUCUUGUGCAAAAUCCAAGCAGGAAAUUUUGUGGUGUUGAAAGAGAGGAGGCCUUUGAAGACAUCCUACCCUGGUAGAUACCGUAUGAUGGUUAUUAGACUGCACUCUGCACCAGUAACGACCUUCAUUAGGGCCGAGGAUGGUCCCAUGUCUUCACGGACAGACAAUUGGAUCCUCCUGCUCAGGGCCGGUGACAUUGUUUUGGGGGUCUGCCACUUGAUUUUUUUAUUCCAUAACCCUGAGGGUUUUUAAAUAUGUUUCUUAAGCAGUUUCUGUCUUCCAACGUCAGCAGCCGUGCUCAUGCAGCUCCACAAUCCCACCGGCAAGAUGUUGGCGUUUAAAGGCUGUGGUCUUCAACUUUUGGACAAGCUAUGUCUUCCUCACCACAUCCUGGAGGAGAAAGGCCUGGUGAAGGUGAGCGUCAUGGUCCAAGCGCUGGUGGACGAG